rnacentral:rRNA from 1 species
UACGGGGGGGGGCAAGCGUUGUUCGGAAUUACUGGGCGUAAAGGGCCAGUAGGCGGCCAACUAAGUCGGAUGUGAAAUCCCCAGGCUUAACCUGGGAACUGCAUCCGAUACUGGAUGGCUUGAAUUCGGGAGAGGGAUGCAGAAUUCCAGGUGUAGCGGUGAAAUGCGUAGAUAUCUGGAGGAAUACCGGUGGCGAAGGCGGCAUCCUGGACCGACAUUGACGCUGAACGGCGAAAGCUAGGGGAGCGAAACGGG